rnacentral:lncRNA from 1 species
ACCUAUGUAAAAUAUAACAGAAUUCGUCCAAUGAGAUGGAGUAGUCCAAGUAAGUUCAGUUUUGAUCUCAAACAGUGGGAAAAUAAAAUCAAAGGCUGUCGUUGAUGCUGAUUUACAAGAAGCAACCAGAAUGAGACUUAGUGAAAGUUAAAAAAACAGCCAAGAGAUUACAGUUGUCAUAAGUGUGAGAAGUAUAAUGGAAAUAAUCAUGAUUCCUGACUCAAAUGAACAAGGUGGUGAUAACAUGUUCUAGUUGAAUGCUAAUUACUGAUGAUUGAAGAAACUAUAGCUCCCUAGUUAAGAAAAUUGUAAUCUACACAUUUACACAAUGCAAAAUAAACGCUAGUUACCUGUGCAGCAAUGCGGUCUAUGGUAUCAGCAGAGGAAUUGAAGGUCUUCAGGAGAUAAUCAGUACCCCACUUAAUAAUAUUUAAAGAUCAAAAGAGAAUUGAAGGUCUUCAGGAGAUAAUCAGUACCCCACUUAAUAAUAUCUUUAACAUGAGCGAGCUCACCAGCAGCUUCAUAUUUUGCACUAUACUCGAUCACACUCCAACUUAACAUGGUGAGAGCAAACGACUGAGGGAAAUUAAACUUGAUUGCAUCUCCUGCAUCAUAAUAUCCCCCAACCAAAUUUUUGAACAUAGUUGAAUCAUCUGACUGGCCAUCUUUUAAACAUGAAUUCCCUCU